rnacentral:tRNA from 1 species
GCCGGGAUGGUCUAAUCGAUUCAGGCGUCGCCCCGGACAGGCGAAGGUUGCGGGUUCAAUCCCCGCUCCUGGCC